CGGGCUGUAGUACAACGGUAGUAUGCGUGCAUGGGGUGCAUGCGAUCCGGGUCCAACUCCCGGCAGCCCGA
rnacentral:tRNA from 1 species